CAGGCCUUUAGAUUAGACUGACCACAAAAUGUAUGUUAAUCUCAAAAAAAUUAUAGGAGUAGUUUUUCGCAGCGUAAAACAUGUCACUUCCUGUUGCCAAUAGGUGGCGCUAUGACUAUAACUGAAUGUGGGCAUGUAGAUCUGUUAAGGGCAGAAGUUUUAUCUAACAUGUGAAGUUUGGGGCAGAUUGGACAUUGUAUAUCUGAGUUACAGCAACUUCCUUUUUCAUGGCGAAACAUCGAAAUUUGUCAGGCCGCUAUGGACACGCCCUUUAACGAAAUCUAAAGAUCUUCGCAAUUUAACAUCGCAAAGGGCUUAAGAUUACACUGACCAGGUUUGGUGUUGAUCUGAAUAAAUCUCUAGGAGGAGUUCGUUAAAGUACAACCCCUGAAAAUGGCAAAAACAACGCCAAUUUUGCAGAGAAAAUUCUAAAUAACCGACUUCCUGUUGGGAUUCGGAUUUCGUGGCAAGAGACUUUUUUGUAGGUAUUGGUGUGUUACAUGUGUAUAACGAUUUUUGUACAUGUACGUGAAACAUAGCUCGAGGCGCACUCUGUUGAAAGUGUAUAGGUGGCGCUAUCGAGCCAUUUUGCCACACCUGAUGGAAUGUUGGCCUUCAGAUGUGUUCAGGCCAGGACUCUUAUCACACAUGUGCAGUUUGGGGAAGAUCGGACAUUUUAUGCCUGAGUUAUAACAUCUUCUAUUCCUAUGGCGAGACAUCGAACUUCGUGACGGCGCCAUGGACACGCCUUUUAAUGAAAACUCAAGAUCUUCACAACUAAACAUCACACAGGCCUUUAUAUUAGACUGACCACAAAAAAUACAUUGAUGUCAUAAAAUUUCUAGGAGUAGUUCAUCGCAGUGUAAAAUAUGUCACUUCCUGUUGCCAGUAGGUGGCGCUAUGACUAUAACUGAAUAUGGGCAUGUCAAUCUGUUCAGGUCAGGAGUCUCAUCAAACAUGUGAAGUUUGGGGCAGAUUGGUCAUUGUAUGUCUGAGUUAUAGCAACUUCCUGUUUCAUGGCGAAUCAUCGAAAUUCGCCAGGCCGCCACGGACACGCCCUUCAACGAAAACUCAAAAGCUUCGCAAUUUAACAUCGCAAAGGCCUUCAGAUUAGGCAUACCAAAUUUGGUGUUGAUCUGAAUGAAUCUCUAGGAGGAGUUCGUUAAAAUACAACGCAUGGAAAUGACAAAAAUGACACAAAAUUUGCUCAUAAUAUUAGUAAUAACCGACUUCCUGUUGGGUUUCGGAUUUUGCUCCAAGAGACUUUUUUGUAGGUAUUGGAGAGUUACAUGAGUAUACCGAUUUUCAUACAUGUACAUGAAACGUAGCUCGAGGCGCACACCGUUGAACGUGUAUAGGUGGCGCUGUUGAGCCAUUUUGCCACACCCACUUCUGAAACCCAUAUCAGAUGUAAAUUUUCGCCAGUUCUGAGGUGUGUGCAAAGUUUCAUGACUUUUCGAGCAUGUUUAGGCCCUCAAAAAUGCGAUUCAUUUUGGAGAAUAAUAAUAAUAAUAAUAAUUAAAGCUGCAAGCAGCGAUGAACGGGCCCUCGCACCCGGGCUCACCGCCAUCGUGUGGCUUUAGUAAAAAGGUGAACGUUGAGAAAUAUGCAUUUAAUGUCCUAAAUAUAAGUGGAAUAUAUCAAAGUAUAUCCCAUAUAUGUGCCAAUCUUACCGUUGCCAGCAGGUGGCGCUAUCAUUAUAAUGGAAUAUUGGCCUUCAGAUGUGUUCAGGCCAGGACUCUUAUCAAACAUGUGAAGUUUGCGGAAGAUUGAACAUUUUAUGCUUGAGUUACAAUAACUUCUCUUGCUGUGGCAAGAUAUCAAAUUUUGUCAUGGCGCCAUGGAAACGCCCUUUAACAAAAACUCAAGAUCUCCAAAAGUUAACAUUGCACAGGCCUUUAGAUUAGACUGACCACAAAAUAUAUGUUAAUCUCAAAAAAAUUAUAGGAGUAGUUUGUCGCAGCGUAAAACAUGUCACUUCCUGUUGCCAAUAGGUGGCGCUAUGACUAUAACUGAAUGUGGGCAUGUAGAUCUGUUAAGGGCAGAAGUUUUAUCUAACAUGUGAAGUUUGGGGCAGAUUGGACAUUGUAUGUCUGAGUUACAGCAACUUCCUUUUUCAUGGCGAAACAUCGAAAUUUGUCAGGCCGCCAUGGACACGCCCUUCAACGAAAUCUAAAGAUCUUCGCAAUUUAACAUCGCAAAGGGCUUAAGAUUACACUGACCAGGUUUGGUGUUGAUCUGACUAAAUCUCUAGGAGGAGUUUGUUAAAGUACAAACCCUGAAAAUGGCAAAAACAACGCCAAUUUUGCAGAGAAAAUUCUAAAUAACCAACUUCCUGUUGGGAUUCGGAUUUCGUACCAAGAGACUUUUUUGUAGGUAUUGGUGUGUUACAUAUGUAUACCGAUUUUUGUACAUGUACGUGAAACAUAGCUCGAGGCGCACUCUGUUGAAAGUGUAUAGGUGGCGCUAUCGAGCCAUUUUGCCACACCUGAUGGAAUUUUGGCCUUCAGAUGUGUUCAGGCCAGGACUCUUAUCACACAUGUGCAGUUUGGGGAAGAUCGGACAUUUUAUGCCUGAGUUAUAACAUAUUUUAUUCCCAUGGCGAGACAUCGAACUUCGUGACGGCGCCAUGGACACGCCUUUUAACGAAAACUCAAGAUCUUCACAACUUAACAUCGCACAGGCCUUUAGAUUAGACUGACCACAAAAAAUACAUUGAUGUCAUAAAAUUUCUAGGAGUAGUUCAUCGCAGUGUAAAAUAUGUCACUUCCUGUUGGCAAUAGGUGGCGCUAUGACUAUAACUGAAUAUGGGCAUGUCAAUCUGUUCAGGUCAGGAGUCUCAUCAAACAUGUGAAGUUUGGGGCAGAUUGGUCAUUGUAUGUCUGAGUUAUAGCAACUUCCUGUUUCAUGGCGAAUCAUCGAAAUUCGCCAGGCCGCCACGGAUACGCCCAUUAACAAAAACUCAAAAGCUUCGCAAUUUAACAUCGCAAAGGCCUUCAGAUUAGGCAUACCAAAUUUGGUGUUGAUCUGAAUGAAUCUCUAGGAGGAGUUCGUUAAAAUACAACGCAUGGAAAUGACAAAAAUGACACAAAAUUUGCUCAUAAUAUUAGAAAUAACCGACUUCCUGUUGGGUUUCGGAUUUUGCUCCAAGAGACUUUUUUGUAGGUAUUGGAGAGUUACAUGUGUAUACCGAUUUUCAUACAUGUACAUGAAACGUAGCUCGAGGCGCACACCGUUGAACAUGUAUAGGUGGCGCUGUUGAGCCAUUUUGCCACACCCAC